rfam:Ixodes scapularis strain Wikel colony gcontig_1108378801546, whole genome shotgun sequence.
GCAGUCGUGGCCGAGUGGUUAAGGCGAUGGACCAGAAAUCCCUUGGGGUCUCCCCGCACAGGUUCGAAUCCUGUUGACUGCG